GGUGGCUCAGUGGUAGAGUGCUUGCUUUGCAUGCAUGAGACCCUGGGUUCGAUUCCUCAGCACCA
rfam:Dipodomys ordii contig_33698, whole genome shotgun sequence.